rnacentral:rRNA from 1 species
UUUUUGGCGGACGGGUGAGUAACGCGUGGGCAACCUGCCGUAUACAGGGGGAUAACAACUGGAAACAGUUGCUAACACCGCAUAAGCGCACGGUACCGCAUGGUACCGAGUGAAAAUCUCCGGAGGUAUACGAUGGGCCCGCGUCUGAUUAGCCAGUUGGUGGGGUAACGGCCUACCAAAGCGACGAUCAGUAGCCGGCCUGAGAGGGUGGACGGCCACAUUGGGACUGAGACACGGCCCAAACUCCUACGGGAGGCAGCAGUGGGGGAUAUUGCACAAUGGGGGAAACCCUGAUGCAGCGACGCCGCGUGAGUGAAGAAGCAAUUCGUUGCGUGAAGCUCUAUCAGCAGGGAAGAAGAAAUGACGGUACCUGAAUAAGAAGCCCCGGCUAACUACGUGCCAGCAGCCGCGGUAAUACGUAGGGGGCAAGCGUUAUCCGGAUUUACUGGGUGUAAAGGGAGCGUAGACGGCAGUGCAAGUCCGAUGUGAAAACCCGGGGCUCAACCCUGGGAGUGCAUUGGAAACUGUACGGCUGGAGUGCAGGAGAGGUAAGCGGAAUUCCUGGUGUAGCGGUGAAAUGCGUAGAUAUCAGGAGGAUCACCAGUGGCGAAGGCGGAUUACUGGACUGUAACUGACGUUGAGGCUCGAAAGCGUGGGGAGCAAACAGGAUUAGAUACCCUGGUAGUCCACGCUGUAAACGAUGAAUACUAGGUGUCGGGGG